CGUGUACUUUGAUAUACUUUUACUCGUUUGAAAAGACUCAGAGACUUCAAGUCAACGUUGAAAGGUUUUUAUACCCUAACAAGCAAUUAGUAGUCCAAACUUUACCGACUAAGUUAACACCCUGAUUUGCAGCAUACAUGAAAAAACUAAAAAAAGCGAUUGACGAUUAUCUAAACUGGAAAAUAUAGGUUGAGUUUUACCCCUUGACAGUAGGAAACUCUAAAUGCUCUGUAUGACCCAACGUCGAAUGAUGAAGAAAAAUUACAAGUUGAACAAAGUAAAAGGGUCAAGGAAGGACUUGAAAUAAUUUAACAUAGAAAUUCCUGCCGUUAGAGUAACUCUUAAAAAGUAACUGAUGGAUAGAAAAUUUGAUACAAGCGAAAUUAUAGCCUCCCUUCCAGAUAAAAUUUGAUAACUUACUUGAGCGUAAAAAGUAACACAACUAUGGAUUUUAAAAUUUUUAGAAAAUAUAUAAAAACAGCUCGUUUUUAUUUUGCUCUCCUAGGCGAACUUAACUAAGUAUUACUUAAAAUAGAUAAAUUUAUGAAAUGCGGAAGAUUCAUAAUAUCAUACUUUGCACCAGUGAAAUGGCAGAGGUUUGGCAAGUUAUUUGCAAUCGUUCUGAGAGGUAAUGUGAGCGGGAAGCAACAUCAAAGUUCGAAAAGAAGAAGGAUAACUCUAAAUCUCGCAAUAUUAACAUUUUUCUGCAAUCUUGCCCAGCUUAAGGGUUUUCAACUAAAACAAUUUGCAUAUUAUCCCGAUGAAUCUACAAGUGCAAAAGCACCUGGUUAGCCAUGAGCCCUCCUUAACUGUCACAGUGUGGUGCUUCCAUUCCCACAUUCCCAAAGGCUCAUAUCGCUUCUUGGGGGGAUCUGUACUUUUUAGAGUAACCAGCUGCACGAGCGAACUUCCCGGUGCUGGUGAUCUUUCGAAAACUAUACACUGGUACAUUACGAUAUGACCCUUUGGGAAAUAAUUAGUGCACUUUCCUGGCCUGAAUCUCCAAAGCCCUUGCUUGGCUACCAAUAACACAUGUAACCAAUAGGGGUAGUAAUUACCCCAUCUAAGGUCAAAGCCAUGUCCCUAACGCGAUAAUGAGGAAUGAAAAGGGUAGCUAGGCACCAGAAAGCUUGUAAUCCCCCAUGGCCCCAUAAAACGCAAUAAGGGAAUGGAUUUCACGAAUUUCACUCAUAAGUGAGGAUUCCAAUAAUAUGUGUUUUUGAAGCUUUCCUCUAUUCACAUGGCUUCGCUGCUCCAGUCAUGGCUCUUAUAGGCAUGAAGCACAUAAUAUUACGGCUUUUCUAUAUAAAAUUUCUUAGAGGCUCUUUUAAGUCAUCAAGUCAUCAGAUAUCUUUAUUGGAUAGGGAGACUCAUUGCUUCAAUUAAGUCUAUUUCUUGACGCCUAUACUCCUUAGCGGUGGAGUCGAGGUUGGUUUCCCAAUCCGGGAUUGCGUAGUAUGCUAAUUUAUCAGCCAACUUUUACAAACGCCGCUCCAACAGAUUUCCGGGUCUCUGGUGGAGCAUUUUCCCAUACACAGCAUCCCAGUUUAAAAAUAAAGCCAAGUAACCUCCGAACCCGUUGACAACAACCGUCGGUGCUCGCGGAAAUUCUUCUUGAGCCUCUAUCCCAUUUUCAUCAAUGAAGGUAACGACCUGGGAAUGGUAUACGUGGAGGGGUUUAGAAAUAUUAAAGCGUCUUCAUGAACCACUUUCCUCUUUUCUCUUUCGCAAAGGAGACUUACUCGCGAGAAAUAAUUCUACUUAUUUUCUACAUCUCUUCGUGUCCACUACUAAUUAGUUUGCGCAUAAUGCCUCUCAAGUCUGUGGGAGAGUCGGAGGACGAGGUGCUUUGGGUCUGGACCCGGUUGCCUCUUUGUGAACGGGCGUGGUUACUAAUAUGUUGGAGCGUAGUAAUUUCCAACUUUGUCAUCAAGUUGCUUUUUACACACCUCUUCGGCGUUCAUUUUUUUCGAUUUGUUAAAUCU